GACGAACGCUGGCGGCGUGCUUAACACAUGCAAGUCGAACGGAAAGGCCCUGCUUUUGUGGGGUGCUCGAGUGGCGAACGGGUGAGUAACACGUGAGUAACCUGCCCUUGACUUUGGGAUAACUUCAGGAAACUGGGGCUAAUACCGGAUAGGAGCUCCUGCUGCAUGGUGGGGGUUGGAAAGUUUCGGCGGUUGGGGAUGUACUCGCGGCUUAUCAGCUUGUUGGUGGGGUAGUGGCUUACCAAGGCUUUGACGGGUAGCCGGCCUGAGAGGGUGACCGGCCACAUUGGGACUGAGAUACGGCCCAGACUCCUACGGGAGGCAGCAGUGGGGAAUAUUGCACAAUGGGCGGAAGCCUGAUGCAGCAACGCCGCGUGCGGGAUGACGGCCUUCGGGUUGUAAACCGCUUUCGCCUGUGACGAAGCGUGAGUGACGGUAAUGGGUAAAGAAGCACCGGCUAACUA
rnacentral:rRNA from 1 species